rnacentral:tRNA from 1 species
GGAUUAUUGCUCAGCGGUAGAGUGCUUGCCUCACACACAUGAGGCACUGGGUUCAAUCCUCAGCACCA